ensembl:snoRNA
CGAAGCCAGUGAUGAUACAAAGUUAUCCCUGUCUGACAUAAUGGUGUGGAGUCAUGGUAACCUGAGGCUGCU